CGCCAGUUGAAUUUGCCGAGUUUUUCAAAAGUUUGUAUAGGUAAUGAGAAGAAAAGUUUGUAUAGGUAAUGAGAAUCAUAUUGGUGUGCUAGUAACUGAGAGACACCAAUAUGGCUCUUGUUUUGAAAUAUGGAUGCCUGUUCGUGGGUUGUUGCUAAAAAGGAAUCGGGUUGCUUUAUAUAUAAAAUACGACAUUCUAAGAACAAACAAAU